GGGUUAGUAGGUUGGUCAUGCCUCUGGUAUGUACUGGUCUCACUGAUUCCUCCUUCCUGAUGAACCUUAAUGCCAUUAAUUUGGUGUUUUGGGGAAUUUGGACUUUUACCUUGAAAAAAUUAGAGUGUUCAAAGCAGGCCUUUGCUCGAAUACAUUAGCAUGGAAUAAUAGAAUAGGACGUGUGGUUCUAUUUUGUUGGUUUCUAGGAUCGACGUA
rnacentral:rRNA from 1 species